AUUUGUGGCCAUACCAGCCUGUCAUUGGCCGAUCCCAUUAGAUCUCUGAAGCUAAGCAGGUCUGGCCCUGGUUAGUAGGUGGAUGGGAGACCACUGAGAAUUCCUGGGGCCACAGUGG
rnacentral:rRNA from 1 species